rnacentral:rRNA from 1 species
GAUGAACGCUAGCUACAGGCUUAACACAUGCAAGUCGAGGGGAAACGACAUCGAAAGCUUGCUUUUGAUGGGCGUCGACCGGCGCACGGGUGAGUAACGCGUAUCCAACCUGCCCAUCACUUGGGGAUAACCUUGCGAAAGUAAGACUAAUACCCAAUGAUAUCUCUAGAAGACAUCUGAAAGAGAUUAAAGAUUUAUCGGUGAUGGAUGGGGAUGCGUCUGAUUAGCUUGUUGGCGGGGUAACGGCCCACCAAGGCAACGAUCAGUAGGGGUUCUGAGAGGAAGGUCCCCCACAUUGGAACUGAGACACGGUCCAAACUCCUACGGGAGGCAGCAGUGAGGAAUAUUGGUCAAUGGGCGAGAGCCUGAACCAGCCAAGUAGCGUGCAGGAAGACGGCCCUAUGGGUUGUAAACUGCUUUUAUAAGGGAAUAAAGUGAGAGUCGUGACUCUUUUUGUAUGUACCUUAUGAAUAAGGACCGGCUAAUUCCGU